GACAGAGGUGCCGAGCGUUAGGCGGAAUCACUGGGCUUAAAGCGUGUGUAGGCGGAUUGGUAAGUACCUUGUGAAAUCCCACGGCUUAACCGUGGAACUGCUUGGUAUACUGCUUAUCUUGGGCCACUUAGGGGCUACCGGAACAAACGGUGGAGCGGUGAAAUGCGUAGAUAUCGUUUGGAACGCCAAUGGUGAAAACAGGUAGCUGGGAGUGUGCCGACGCUGAGACACGAAAGCCAGGGGAGCGAACGGG
rnacentral:rRNA from 1 species